rnacentral:rRNA from 1 species
UACGUAGGGGCCUAGCGUUGUCCGGAUUUAUUGGGCGUAAAGAGCUCGUAGGCGGUUUGGUGAGUCGGGUGUGAAAUCUCCACGCUCAACGUGGAGGGGCCACCCGAUACUGCCAUGACUAGAGUCCGGUAGGGGAGUGUGGAAUUCCCGGUGUAGCGGUGAAAUGCGCAGAUAUCGGGAGGAACACCAGUAGCGAAGGCGACAGCUCUGGGCCGGUACUGGACGGUGAGGAGCGAAAGCGUGGGGGAGCAAACAGG